GAGUGGCGAACGGGUGAGUAACACGUGAGCAACCUGCCCUUGACUGUGGAAUAACAGUUGGAAACAGCUGCUAAUACCGCAUAUGACCUGUCAUCGCUUGGUGGUGGGUGGAAAGUUUCGGCGGUCAGGGAUGGGCUCGCGGCCUAUCAGCUUGUUGGUGGGGUAAUGGCUCACCAAGGCUUCGACGGGUAGCCGGCCUGAGAGGGCGAUCGGCCACACUGGGACUGAGAUACGGCCCAGACUCCUACGGGAGGCAGCAGUGGGGAAUAUUGCACAAUGGGCGGAAGCCUGAUGCAGCAACGCCGCGUGCGGGAUGACGGCCUUCGGGUUGUAAACCGCCUUCAGUAGGGACGAAGCGGGAGUGACGGUACCUACAGAAGAAGCACCGGCCAACUACGUGCCAGCAGCCGCGGUGAUACGUAGGGUGCGAGCGUUGUCCGGAAUUAUUGGGCGUAAAGGGAUUGUAGGCGGCCCGUCACGUCGAAAGUGAAAACUCAGGGCUUAACCCUGAGCCUGCUUUCGAUACGGGUGGACUAGAGGUAUGCAGGGGAGAACGGAAUUCCUGGUGGAGCGGUGGAAUGCGCAGAUAUCAGGAGGAACACCGGUGGCGAAGGCGGUUCUCUGGGCAUUACCUGACGCUGAGAAUCGAAAGCGUGGGGAGCAAACAGGCUUAGAUACCCUGGUAGUCCACGCCGUAAACGGUGGGCACUAGGUGUGGGGGACAUUCCACGUUCUCCGCGCCGAAGCUAACGCAUUAAGUGCCCCGCCUGGGGAGUACGGCCGCAAGGCUAAAACUCAAAGGAAUUGACGGGGGCCCGCACAAGCGGCGGAGCAUGCGGAUUAAUUCGAUGCAACGCGAAGAACCUUACCUGGGUUUGACAUAUGCCGGAAAGCUGCAGAGAUGCAGCCCCCGCAAGGUCGGUAUACAGGUGGUGCAUGGCUGUCGUCAGCUCGUGUCGUGAGAUGUUGGGUUAAUUAUGGCGGCGGAGGGCAACCCUCCUCGUAUGUUGUCAGCGGGUCAUGCCGGGGACUCAUAGGAGACUGCCGGGGUCAACUCGGAGGAAGGUGGGGAUGACGUCAAGUCUUCAUGCCCCUUAUGUGCAGGGCUUCACGCAUGUUACAAUGGCUGGUACAAAGGGCUGCGAGUCCGUAAGGUCAAGCGAAUCCCAAAAAGCCGUCUCAGUUCAGAUUGCACUCUGCAACUCGGGUGCAUGAAGGUGA
rnacentral:rRNA from 1 species